rnacentral:rRNA from 1 species
UACUUAGGGUGCGAGCGUUAAUCGGAAUUACUGGGCGUAAAGCGUGCGCAGGCGGCUUUGCAAGACAGAUGUGAAAUCCCCGGGCUUAACCUGGGAACUGCAUUUGUGACUGCAUGGCUGGAGUGCGGCAGAGGGGGAUGGAAUUCCGCGUGUAGCAGUGAAAUGCGUAGAUAUGCGGAGGAACACCGAUGGCGAAGGCAAUCCCCUGGGCCUGCACUGACGCUAAUGCACGAAAGCGUGGGGAGCAAACAGG